GCUCCCAUGGCGUAGUGGUCACUGCGAUCGCCUUGCACGCGGCAGACCCGGGUUCGAUUCCCGGCGGGGUCA
rfam:Asian citrus Psyllid, Diaphorina citri - Florida Strain, whole genome shotgun sequence.